UACAGAGGGGGCAAGCGUUGUUCGGAAUUACUGGGCGUAAAGGGCGCGUAGGCGGCCCGCUAAGUCACACGUGAAAUCCCUCGGCUCAACCGGGGAACUGCGUGUGAUACUGGCGGGCUUGAAUUCGGGAGAGGGAUGUGGAAUUCCAGGUGUAGCGGUGAAAUGCGUAGAUAUCUGGAGGAACACCGGUGGCGAAGGCGGCAUCCUGGACCGAGAUUGACGCUGAGGCGCGAAAGCUAGGGGAGCAAACGGG
rnacentral:rRNA from 1 species